rnacentral:rRNA from 1 species
GAUGAACGCUGGCGGCGUGCCUAAUACAUGCAAGUCGAGCGAACAGACGAGGAGCUUGCUCCUCUUACGUUAGCGGCGGACGGGUGAGUAACACGUGGAUAACCUACCUAUAAGACUGGGAUAACUUCGGGAAACCGGAGCUAAUACCGGAUAAUAUAUUGAACCGCAUGGUUCAAUAGUGAAAGACGGUUUUGCUGUCACUUAUAGAUGGAUCCGCGCCGCAUUAGCUAGUUGGUAAGGUAACGGCUUACCAAGGCAACGAUGCGUAGCCGACCUGAGAGUGUGAUCGGCCACACUGGAACUGAGACACGGUCCAGACUCCUACGGGAGGCAGCAGUAGGGAAUCUUCCGCAAAGGGCGAAAGCCUGACGGAGCAACGCCGCGUGAGUGAUGAAGGUCUUCGGAUCGUAAAACUCUGUUAUUAGGGAAGAACAAAUGUGUAAGUAACUAUGCACGUCUUGACGGUACCUAAUCAGAAAGCCACGGCUAACUACGUG